rnacentral:rRNA from 1 species
AUGUGGCUUAAUUUGACUCAACGCGGGAAAUCUUACCGGGUCCGGACACACUGAGGAUUGACAGGCAAUAUAUGUGACUCUUCGGAGUUUGCAUUGUUAAAUAUGCUAGUCCUUUCAUGAUUAUGUGAUAGGUGGUGCAUGGCCGUUCUUAGUUCGUGGAGUGAUCUGUCUGCUUAAUUGCGUUUCAAAUUACUUAUAAGGUAGCAAUACGCGAUGAAGCUUUCAAUAGUCCUCACGGAUUCACUUGAGUCUCUCGCUUCGCUAUCCUUUCGAAUGCAACGAACGUGACCGCAACCUCUUGUUGCCUUCGUUUAACAUCCUGCAGCUCGCUGUGGGUACUGAGGGCUUCACUCGGUGACUUUGGGCUGAGCAAUCGGUCUUUUGAUCUGAGUAAACUAGAGGGACCGCUGUCAACUUCUUAAACCAGAGGAAGGUUGCGGCAAUAACAGGUCUGUGA